rnacentral:lncRNA from 1 species
UUCUCCCCAGCAGUGUACAAGGGUUCCAGUUUCUUCACCUCUUCACCAACACUUGGUUGAGGAUACUGUGAAAUAAUCCUUCCCUUUCCAACCAACAUGAAGAUGACUGAUACACCCAUCAUACUGAAGGAUUCCUACUGUGUCAGAGAUUACAUUAUAUUAAGUCCUUACAGAAAUAUAAAGAGUAUAACCUUCAAAAAACUGGGAAUUGUUAAAUUAUACAUUGGAUUUUGGGGGCUAUUGUUUGGGAGGUUUUGUUUUGUUUUGUUUUGUUUUUCCUUCUUUCAUAACAGUUCGCUCAAUUAACUAUACCAGAGGCAUCUUUGGCUGCAAAGGUGGAGGAAUCACUGUGCUCGAAGAUGACAGUUCUACACCUUGGCCUGACAGUUUUGAGAUUCUUGCUUCUAAAAUAAGAUGGAACCUGAAAGAUGGGAUGAUUCUAGCAUACUAAGUAUUUGACUUUAAUUGGAAUCAUUGAACGUCCCUUGAAUUUUUUUUCUCAUUGGUAUUGGAUUCUGUUGUCUUUACUGAUGGAAAUUUCUUUUCCUUCCAUUCUUGGUUCAUGACAAACCACCAACUGUCCACGCAUGAUCUCCUUUCAUUUUACUUGUAUUUGAAAUGAAAACCUGUGAGUGCAAUGCCUAAUCUAAGAAUCAGAACAUUAUUCUUUUAUACCCCUAUCUCUGUAAUUCUCCUUUAUCUUACUCCUUCACCUCCCCAUCCCUCUGCCACCAGAGGUAACCACCAUUCUGAACAUUGUUUAUCAUUCUCUUGCUUCACCCCUACAUAUCUACAUGUAGCCUUAAGCAAUACAUUGUUUCAUUUUGCCUGGCUUUGAACUUUAUGAAGAGGUAUCAUCCCUGGCUUAUAUGAUCUCUUGAGACUUGCUGUUUCACUCAGCCUUAUAUUCCUAAGAUUCAUCCAUGCUGUCAUUGCUGUGUAGUAUUUUUAUUUGUGCUUAUACUGCAGUUUUUCUAUAAAUGUUAGUAUAGGUUAUACUAUGAUUUAUCAAUACUCAUGUCAUUGGGCAUUCAGGGUGUUUCCUGUUUUUGUAUCUAUGAGCAGAGCUGUUAGUAAGCAUUUGCGUCUCCUG